GCAGGAAGUGUUCACUUUUUCUGUUUCGGGCUGUACGCUGUGGCUCUGCGCCUCCAGGGCUUUGCUGCCUGGAGAGCGUCCUCCCUGUACCGCAGAGUCCUUGCCCGACCUACAAAGCCGAGGCUUCUAUGGGAUAUUCUGGAUUCGCCAUAGGGGUUUCUCCUAGCGCGGAUUGUGUGUUUGCGCUGGCGAUGCUCAUAGAAGAAGGGCGCAGAGCUGUACGAGGAGGCUGGAUGCACCGGUCAGAGCCCUCGGUGGCCUCCACCCCGCUGCUCUUGGCGCCGGUCCGCUCCUGGAGACCGCGCUGUAGCCGCCUGGGAGGCGAGGCGCGUAAUCUCCGCGCUACCCACGCGGGGCCGCGGCGCGGUGGCCGUACUUUGGCUUUGGGCGCUGGAUGGACAGUGGGGUAAAGGGUGGGGGUUCCGGGUCCCCUAACGUGGAUUACUUGGUGUUUAUCAACUGGAUUUAGAAGACUCACCACCUGGUCUCCAUCAUCCGUGGAUUGUCUUUCCAUCUCAGCCCCUCUUCCACCUAGAGGUAGGCCUAAAAGGAGACUGACCAAGGGCUCAUCCUGCUUAUCCACGCUACUUAUCAAGAACUGUGGAACUAUGGAGAAUAUGACCUUGACCCUUCCUUCAGGAUCUGGCUGAGAUCUGGCUGCCUCUUGAGAUGCUAGAGCCCUGGAUUCAAUUGAGGAACAUUAUGUUGGAGAAUAUAAACACUUCUAGACUGCGCACACAUUUGGGAAGGAAUAGUCCGUUUUGACUUGAAUGAGCAAAGACAUACGACUCUGGGCAUGGGGAAGGCUCACCAGAUCAGCUCAUCUACUGUCUGGUGGCACACAUGUCCCCUACUGCCACUACCCAGGACACUCUUCCUCACUCUGUCCCUGUCCAGCCACACCCUUCCCUGUCUGACUCCUCCUCCUGUGCCCACCUCGCCUCUGGACCCAGAGUUGCUCUUGGGUUGCUCUAUUAUCCUUGAGCCGGAUAUACAGGGUGAAUAAGUUAACCACACUUGGGUUGAAUGGGAUCUUGAUUCUUAUUUCUGUUCCUUGGAAAGAGGGUCAGUCUCAGUGCGUGGCACCCAGCCUGGAAGCAGCACAAGACUCCAGAGUGAUACAUGAUCUGCCUGGAUGGUCCUGUGGGCUCUUUGGAGGUCAGAGCAAGAGGAGCAGCCUGAGCGGGGGGUGGGGGGUGCUGAGGAGGGCCGGCACUGGACUGCACGCAGGCAUACGUCUGGAUAGGCAGAGAGAAGCCCACUUUUCAUUCCUUCUUCUGUGACACAAAUGCAAGGGGCUUUGAAGACUCUCUUCGGCGGCUACAGUCAGAGGUCAGCUUAUCCAGGGGCUCCCUACCGGAGCAGCCAGCUCUGUUGGUCGUGCCUCCUGAGGACUUCUUUCCUCUACUGUAUGCUGAGGAUACACCCAUCUGCUGGGAGCUGGAGCCUUCUCUGGUUCUUUCCUCUAUGUCCCCCCCUCCCCCCAGCUUGUGCAGUUGGGAAUCCUUCCUAAUCACGCCUUGAUUCCCCCUUCUUGACUACACUCAAAGAUGUUUGAGCUGUUUUAUUUGCAAAAUGGAUGGACAGUGUGUAUAUAUAAAACAAUCCAAGCUUUCUUGUGCUGUAUCUGGUGUGUCUGUAUGGCUCUUCAGUGACUUUAAAAUGGAGCGUGGACUUUGGCCUCUUUGAUUCUCCAUGAUGGAAUCGAGAAGACCUCUUGAAGAUGCUUCUUGUUGCUGAGAUCUUAAGAAGGCUUGCAGACUUCUUCCUCCCUCCUUCCUCCACCUCCUUCCUCCCUAAGCAGCCUCUGUGUUGUAUAAAUUCCUUCAUAUAAAUUCCUCUG
rnacentral:lncRNA from 1 species